rnacentral:snRNA from 1 species
GGAUGUGAGGGCGAUCUGGCUGCGACAUCUGUCACCCCAUUGAUCGCCAGGGUUGAUUCGGCUGAUCUGGCUGGCUAGGCGGGUGUCCCCUUCCUCCCUCACCGCUCCAUGUGCGUCCCUCCCGAAGCUGCGCGCUCGGUCGAAGAGGACGACCAUCCCCGCUAGAGGAGGACCGGUCUUCGGUCAAGGGUAUACGAGUAGCUGCGCUCCCCUGCUAGAACCUCCAAACAAGCUCUCAAGGCCGCGGCUCUUUCGGCCUGCAGCUGUCAGCCCACACAUCUCCCUGUGUUUGUGGACUGGUUUGGUGAUCGAUUGGG